rnacentral:rRNA from 1 species
GACGAGCCACACAAACGUUAUUCGGAAUUACUGGGCUUAAAGCGUGCGCAGGCGGCUUUGCAAGACAGAUGUGAAAUCCCCGGGCUCAACCUGGGAACUGCAUUUGUGACUGCAUGGCUAGAGUGCGGCAGAGGGGGAUGGAAUUCCGCGUGUAGCAGUGAAAUGCGUAGAUAUGCGGAGGAACACCGAUGGCGAAGGCAAUCCCCUGGGCCUGCACUGACGCUCAUGCACGAAAGCGUGGGGAGCAAACAGG